UCAUUAAAUCAGUUAUCGUUUAUUUGAUAGUACCUUACUACAUGGAUACCUGUGGUAAUUCUAGAGCUAAUACAUGCUAAAAACCCCGACUUCGGAAGGGGUGUAUUUAUUAGAUAAAAAACCAAUGCCCUUCGGGGCUCCUUGGUGAUUCAUAAUAACUUAACGAAUCGCAUGGCCUUGCGCCGGCGAUGGUUCAUUCAAAUUUCUGCCCUAUCAACUUUCGAUGGUAGGAUAGUGGCCUACCAUGGUGGCAACGGGUAACGGGGAAUUAGGGUUCGAUUCCGGAGAGGGAGCCUGAGAAACGGCUACCACAUCCAAGGAAGGCAGCAGGCGCGCAAAUUACCCAAUCCCGACACGGGGAGGUAGUGACAAUAAAUACUGAUACGGGGCUCUUUCGGGUCUCGUAAUUGGAAUGAGUACAAUCUAAAUCCCUUAACGAGGAACAAUUGGAGGGCAAGUCUGGUGCCAGCAGCCGCGGUAAUUCCAGCUCCAAUAGCGUAUAUUAAAGUUGUUGCAGUUAAAAAGCUCGUAGUUGAACCUUGGGUCUGGCUGGCCGGUCCGCCUCACCGCGAGUACUGGUCCGGCUGGACCUUUCCUUCUGGGGAAUCCCAUGGCCUUCACUGGCUGUGGGGGGAACCAGGACUUUUACUGUGAAAAAAUUAGAGUGUUCAA
rnacentral:rRNA from 1 species